GUGGGGAAUCUUGCACAAUGGGGGAAACCCUGAUGCAGCGACGCCGCGUGAGCGAUGAAGCCCUUCGGGGUGUAAAGCUCUUUCGGCGGGGACGAUUAUGACGGUACCCGCAUAAGCAGCUGCGGCUAACUACGUGCCAGCAGCCGCGGUAAUACGUAGGCAGCAAGCGUUGUUCGGAAUUACUGGGCGUAAAGAGUGCGUAGGCGGAUGGGCAAGUCUGGUGUGAAAUCUCCCGGCUCAACUGGGAGGGUGCGCCGGAAACUGCCCGUCUGGAGUGUGGGAGAGGGAAGUGGAAUUCCUGGUGUAGCGGUGAAAUGCGUAGAUAUCAGGAGGAACACCGGCGGUGUAGACGGCUUCCUGGACCACUACUGACGCUGAGGCACGAAAGCGUGGGGAGCAAACAGGAUUAGAAACCCCAGUAGUCC
rnacentral:rRNA from 1 species